GAAAUGGAUUUUCUUAUUCAUGCUUUGCCAACAGUUCUACUCCGGCUGGCCCCAAGGCAUUGAACUCCUAUAUAGCUGUACUAGCCAGCGCUUCCACUCCUAUCCUAUAUAUAAGGUGCAAGCACACACACAAGUUUUCAGUAGAAGAACAUCAAAUACAUACUGGCUCACUCGUGAUUCCUUCACCCAGCAGUUCGUAACCACCUGCUAAAUCAUCAAAAAGAUGGCCCCCUGCAAAGUAGCAGCAGCCUUACUCCUGUUGAUCACAACAAUUUCCGUCAACACCGUAACCGGGUCGCGAUGUAACGCUCAGGAGAAGAACCAGAUUGUGAGCUUGUGCCAAAUGUACAUCCAGAGAGGAACCCUCGUUCAGCUCCCAUCCCAAACUGGGCCAUGCUGUGCGGCAGUGAGAGAGCUGGAGAGGGUACACAGGGGUAUGCAGAUGAAGUGCAUCGCCGAUCUACUAAACGCUGGAGACCUGCAGAAAUACGAUCCAACUAAGAUCAAGCAUCUUGACAUUUCCUGCUACACUUAACACAUCGUUAGUUUCAUUCCUCUCCUCCCCAUCGUUGUAAGGUCAUGCUGUGAAGGGCGCGAUGGCGUGGAAUGGAUGGUGGUGGUAGCAAAGAUGCUCAGAAGAUGACAUUUCGUUAGUUAUUUAAUUAAGUCUUCCAAGGCGUCAAUCUUCCUGACAUGUAUCUUUAUUCGAAAAAAUAAACUGGAUUAUUUCUGGUAUCAUUUUCUUUU